UAAGGAGACCCUCAGCUGUGAGAAUGCACCCACAGCUCUGAGAACCUGAUGCAGAUAUUCGUUGAGUUCCUAUUGUAUGCCGUGUGCUGUGCAUUCCAUGAUGAACCAAAACCAUGAGCUGACAGUCUAGCAGAAAAGAGCAACAGGAAGCGAGUGACCACAGGAGGCGUGUCAAUGGAUUGUGGUUCAGUUUAGCAAAGUGGAAACGCCGAGCGAGGUCUGAAGUGAGGGACCGGAGAUUACUUUGGCCUGUGGACGCUGCACUGCCCACGAGACAUCCAGAUGCAGACAUCAAGGAAACAACUGGACCCAUGAAUCUACAGCUAAGAGAUCAAGAAGCCUCAUUAACAAUGAGCAGACGCUUCACCCACAUGCACCAGCAGGUCCUGAAGACUUUCACCAACGCCACAGCGCUUCUGCCUCUGGACCAUGGGGAACCUGCCAGGACGAGGAAGCACUCUGCCCCAACUCACGCUUUCCCAUGAGAAUGCAUCAUCCUCCAGACACAGGAAAUGUGUCCUCAUGACACUAAGGCCCCUCCCUGAAAUCCUGGAGGGCAAAAUCACUGUGAAUCACCGAUGAACCAAGACCUGUCAGAUGUCAGCCCUGAAAGAUGAGGUCCUGGGAGUGACUUUCACACAUGAGGAGAGAGAGUGACUGAGAAGGGAGCCCACCUUGUGAAGAGAGCUGAGAGAUUUUGCCAAGUGACAUCAACUGGACACUGGAUCAAGCUGCUCCUGAAGCUAGUGUAUCCAAGGACCUUC